GGAGAGAUUGAAGCAUCUGCUCGAUUUGCAGCCUUAACUGAACAAGUUAACAAUCUCCAAGAGCAGUUGAAUUCUUUGUCUGCUCUAAAAAUUGAAUCUGAUGCCCUGCUUGAGAAGAAAACUGCAGAAAUAGUGGAAUAUGCCAAUCAGGUAGAAAAUCUCAAGGAGGAAUUAGCAAGCAAAUUAGUGGAUGGGCAAAGAUUGCUGGGAGAGAAAGAUGGUUUGCUUGUGCAGAUAAAUGACCUGGAACUGGUGGUGGAGUCUCUGCGUAACCACAAAAGUGAAUUGGAAGGGCAUAUAAAUAGUAAAGUUGAUGAGAGCAACCGGUUAAGUGAGGAAAACAAGCAUUUGCAGAGCAAGAUUUCUGAAUUGGAGAGAGUAUUGACAGAAAGGAUGGAUGAGCUCUCUGCCAUCCAAAAGAUAUUGGAUGAUGCAAAUGUUGAAGCUUCCACCCAAAUCGAUGCACUGAAUGAGCAGGUUAAAAUUUGAGACAGGAGAGGGACUCCUUACAGUCUGGAAAAGCCAACUGGAAUUACAAAUGGAGAGGAGAAUAGAAGAUUUUUCAGCAAAUUUGGCUCAAGCAGAGGAUCAGAAUUCUGAAUUACAGAAGAGGUUGGAAGAUGGAGAGAUUGAAGCAUCUGCUCGAUUAGCAGCCUUAACUGAACAAGUUAACAAUCUCCAAGAGCAGUUGAAUUCUUUGUCUGCUCUAAAAAUUGAAUCUGAUGCCCUGCUUGAGAAGAAAACUGCAGAAAUAGUGGAAUAUGCCAAUCAGGUAGAAAAUCUCAAGGAGGAAUUAGCAAGCAAAUUAGUGGAUGGGCAAAGAUUGCUGGGAGAGAAGAUGGUUUGCUUGUGCAGAUAAAUGACCUGGAACUGGUGGUGGAGUCUCUGCGUAACCACAAAAGUGAAUUGGAAGGGCAUAUAAAUAGUAAAGUUGAUGAGAGCAACCGGUUAAGUGAGGAAAACAAGCAUUUGCAGAGCAAGAUUUCUGAAUUGGAGAAGUAUUGACAGAAAGGAUGGAUGAGCUCUUUGCCAUCCAAAAGAUAUUGGAUGAUGCAAAUAUUGAAGCUUCCACCCAAAUCGAUGCAUUGAAUGAGCAGGUUAAAAAUUUGAGACAGGAGAGGGACUCCUUACAGUCUGAGAAAAGCCAACUGGAAUUACAAAUGGAGAGGAGAAUAGAAGAUUUUUCAGCAAAUUUGGCUCAAGCAGAGGAUCAGAAUUCUGAAUUAGCAAACCAGGUUGCAAACCAAGAGAGGAAG
rnacentral:lncRNA from 1 species